GAGCUAUGAGGAAGAUACAAAAUGAUACUGAUGUACCUCUGAUGACUGUCAGAUCCAACUCUGAGCUCACUGUUCCG
ensembl:snoRNA small nucleolar RNA SNORD19